rnacentral:rRNA from 1 species
UACGGGGGGAGCAAGCGUUGUUCGGAUUUACUGGGCGUAAAGAGCGCGCAGGCGGUCAGAUAAGUCGAAUGUGAAAGCCCCCGGCUCAACUGGGGAGGGUCAUUCGAUACUGUUCGACUCGAAGGCAGGAGAGGGAAGUGGAAUUCCCGGUGUAGUGGUGAAAUGCGUAGAUAUCGGGAGGAACACCAGUGGCGAAGGCGACUUCCUGGCCUGUUCUUGACGCUGAGGCGCGAAAGCUAGGGGAGCAAACGGG